rnacentral:rRNA from 1 species
UGGGGGCAACCCUGAUCCAGCCAUGCCGCGUGAGUGAAGAAGGCCUUCGGUUGUAAAGACUCUUUCGGUCCGGGAAGAAAUCGUAUCAGCUAAUACCUGGUGCGGAUGACGGUACCGGCAUAAGAAGCACCGGCUAACUACGUGCCAGCAGCCGCGGUAAUACGUAGGGUGCGAGCGUUAAUCGGAAUUACUGGGCGUAAAGCGUGCGCAGGCGGUUUUGUAAGACAGGCGUGAAAUCCCCGGGCUCAACCUGGGAACUGCGUUUGUGACUGCAAGGCUAGAGUACGGCAGAGGGGGGUGGAAUUCCACGUGUAGCAGUGAAAUGCGUAGAGAUGUGGAGGAACACCAAUGGCGAAGGCAGCCCCCUGGGUCGAUACUGACGCUCAUGCACGAAAGCGUGG